GGGAUGUUUGCCCGGAAACCGGGAAAGGGAAUAACACUCGAAAUGUAAAUAAGAAAUACUCAAGUUAAAAAAAAAUAGUAGUAAAAGUAGUAGUAGAAGUAGUAGUAGUAGUAGUAGUAGUAGUAGUAGUAGUAGUAAUAUUUUAAUGUACUAUUGAAUUGAAUGUAUUAGUGUUUUGUAGACAUUGUUGACUUUAAUAUGAACAUUGGUUAUUAUUAUCUUGCUCCUUACUUUCUACUUUUCAUAUGUACACCUUGUUCCAUUUUUUCCUAUUAUGGAUUAAGAAAGAAGGAAUAUUAACUAUAAAAAAAAAAAAAAGAACCAUCGUGCAGGACACAACUGCCACUCUUACCAAAUACAGACGGCCAUGCUACUUUGUUGUCGCGCGCCCAACGUCUCGCCAGUAAGAAUGAUGCGCGGUAACAGGAUUCUUCUGCGAACAAGCCUUUACUGUACAGCUCUCUUGAACAGGGACAGGGGACCACAAGCGGCAAAGUCGCUCGCCUUAUAUACACAACAGUAUGCUAAUAAUCUCUCAGGGAUUGGUCGGGCAUGGGUCACCCCACUAUCACCCCACUACUUGUCCUCCAGGAAUUGGCAGAGAAUGAAUCACCUCACUAGCAUGGUACCGCCCCUCAUUAGCAUAUUAACGGCCAACUGACAUCAGGUGCAAAAACCGCACAUGUGCAGUACCGUUGUUCACCACUCGAGGGCGCCCUACACUUUGUAAGCUGUGGCCUGUGGCCCUAAGCCAGGUAGAUACAUUCUCUUAGUGUGGCUCUAAAAUAUGUACUUUCUGCACAGACUAGAAUGCUAGAGAUCGUGAGAAGCCGCAGGGGAUUUCCUUUCUAGCCAAGCUUUCCUUCCCUAAGUUUUGCUUCAGUCCGCCUUUGCACGAAGACACAUCCUGCCCAAGAGACUCACUCUCCAAAAAGAAUUGACCAGCUACUUUUCUGACACUUUGAGGGAAGUGGGUGGAACCAAGCCAACCAAACAAGAGAUCUUGAAGAAUGAAGAGUCAUUUACAUUCCUAAGAGGGAACCUGAGAGCUGACGGUGCAGACGGUGAAAUCGGAUUCAUUCCUGUUCCUUCAUUUCAGCUCAGAGAACCAUAGGGUUCAAGCUGACGUUGAGUUCCUUCACUCCACAAAGUCACUCUCAGCUGGCUGGACAUCCUCUAGCUGGACAGGACAACAUGUGAUCAUUCAAGGACUUGUUUGUCUUUUGUGUUAACUGUCCUUACCAGCAAAAUCCUAAAUGCCCAUGAACUGGACAGCCAUGAACCAGGCUGGACAGCAGAAGUGACCUCUAUUUGGGUUUAAUGAAAUCGUGUGUCCCAUGAAGGCUAAGCCUUGCUCUGACUUUCUGACAGGUGCCAUUUUUUCCUCCCAUUUUUAACCAUCUCUAAGUGAAAUACAACUCCUGCCCAAACGUGAAUUGAUGAUUUAUUCAUUUUGUUGAUACCUGUCAGGUCCCAAAGAAACCCCAGACAAAGGGCUAACUGGAGUGCCAAUUAGCAUAUCAAAGAGCAGAGGCUCAUUCAGCACCUGCAGCUCCUCCCUGCUCUCCUCACCUCAGCCCCCUCUCCUAACCCUCUCCAGACCAGCAAUUUCCCCUCCUUCAGCUUCUGAAUUGCCAGCCAUUUUGCCCAUUCCCUCUCUCUUGGUUCCUCCAUCUCUCUUGGUUCCUCCCUCUCUCUUGGUUCCUCCCUCUCUCUUGGUCCUCUUAACCCACUCUUCUCUUCCUCUCUUGCUCAACACCCCACCCACCCUCAUGACCUGGUCUAGUCUGCUAACCAUGUUCAAUCUGCUACUUUCUCUCUCUGCUCUGGACUCUUCCAGAUGCCUCUGGAUAUUCUCUCCCUCAUGCGGACAAUAAAAACCUUCUCCUCAACCAGACCUAGGAACAGCCAUGUCCGAUUUUGCAUUCAAUACCUUAUGCUCCUUUUCCUAGUGGCUUGUUUACAAGGCUUUCCUUGUAAGAAUUCUCAGUAUAUGGAGGAGACAGCAUUCAGAGUGUUUGAAAUUGUCAAGAAACAACUUUAAUAAAAAGCUUUAAAAGGAGGAGGAGGAAAAGGAGAAAGAGAAGAGGAGGAGAAGGAAAGAAAAUUUUGUGUCCCAGUGAAUGGACCCAUAGAACAUUCUAGCACAAAUUACUGUUACUAAGGCUUCGAGGCCCAAAAUAUAAGAUGAAUAUUAUUAUCUUGCCCUUGUCUAAAUGAAGAGGCAAUUCCAGCACUGACAUUGUUAGCUUACAGGUGAUUUCACUAGGCUCCUCCUAUUGGAGUAGAAAUCUCAGCUCUUGUCCAGACAAACUACACCAAGCCAACAUGGUUCCACGUGGAAAGGUUUAAUGAGAGAAGAAGAGUAGAAGAGGAGAGGAGUAAAGGCCAGCCAUGAGCACAUGGAGGGAAGGGGAAAGGAAUGGGAAGAGAAGGGACAAAGGGGAAGAGGGGAAGAGCAGGAGGCAAGAGAAGAGAGUGAGGAGGGGGCAAGCAGCCCCUUUUAUAGUGAGUCAGGCAUACCUGACUGUUGCCAGGUAACUGUGGGGAUGGAGCUUAGACAGAAUACCAACAUUCCCCCAUAUUGGUUUAAUUAAAAAAGAAAAAUUAGAAAGGCAAUAGUGGAGCAGGAAUAGGGUCGUUGUGAUCUCUGACUACUUCCUGCUUGCUUUGGGGCGAUGUGUCUCUAGGGAACCUAGAAAAAUGGGUAUGGGAUGUCUGUCCAGUCUUAAGAGUUGGCUGUUUCCUUGUUGUCCAGGGUCUGUGGAACCAUCUGAGGAUAGGCCAGAAGGAACAGGUCCAAUAGAAGCGUCUGUGUCCAGUAAACCACUGAACUGAGAACAGGACCCCUGUUGAAGGAAUCAGAGAAAGAACUCGAAAAGCUUGAAGGGGCUCGAGACCCCUUAUGAAGAACAAUGCCAAGCAACCAGAGCUUCCAGGGACUAAGCCACUACCUAAAGACUAAACAUGGACUGACCCUGGACUCUGACCUCAUAGGUAGCAAUGAAUAUCCUAGUGAGAGCACCAGUGGAAGGGGAAGCCCUGGGUCCUGCUAAGACUGAACCCCCAGUGAACUAGAUUGUUGGGGGGAGGGCGGCAAUGGGGG
ensembl:lncRNA